rnacentral:piRNA from 1 species
UGGGACCUUCGGACUGGGCCUCCUGCUA